AGCUUUGCGCAGUGGCAGUAUUGUAGCCAACAAGGUUUAUCUGAGGCACAAUUAUUGCUAAUUAAAGUAUAAGGAAUAUUAUCCUCUCAUUUUCUUAGCUACAAAAGCAGUAUUAUUUUAGAAACAGUAAAUGUU